GAUGAACGCUGGCGGCGUGCCUAAUACAUGCAAGUCGAGCGAACAGACGAGGAGCUUGCUCCUCUGACGUUAGCGGCGGACGGGUGAGUAACACGUGGAUAACCUACCUAUAAGACUGGGAUAACUUCGGGAAACCGGAGCUAAUACCGGAUAAUAUAUUGAACCGCAUGGUUCAAUAGUGAAAGAGGGUUUUGCUGUCACUUAUAGAUGGAUCCGCGCCGCAUUAGCUAGUUGGUAAGGUAACGGCUUACCAAGGCAACGAUGCGUAGCCGACCUGAGAGGGUGAUCGGCCACACUGGAACUGAGCCACGGUCCAGACUCCUACGGGAGGCAGCAGUAGGGAAUCUUCCGCGAUGGGCGAAAGCCUGACGGAGCAACGCCGCGUGAGUGAUGAAGGUCUUCGGAUCGUAAAACUCUGUUAUUAGGGAAGAACAAAUGUGUAAGUAACUAUGCACGUCUUGACGGUACCUAAUCAGAAAGCCACGGCUAACUACGUG
rnacentral:rRNA from 1 species